GGCUAUUAUGCGUUAGCCGAUUUACUUUCAUUUUCAUAUUUGCAACUACCAAAAAAAUGGAGACCGGACUACGAGAGAGGGCAGAAUUGUUUUUGCUGACUGAAGACAGUUUUAGGAUGAAUGCCUACAAUAUCAUCUGUGAAAUGGACAAACUACACGUAACUAAGGAAUAUGUGGAUGAGGUAUGCAUGUACCCCUUUGAAGACAAAGGUAAAACAAGUUUCAGGUUGGAUAUUCGAUGGAUAUUCACCUGCAGUUUUCCUUACGUCCACCUACAGCAGUUAGGGACCGUCAACAUAGUGAUAAAUCACAUUUUUGACAUUUCAAUAGCUCUUUAACCAUUACUCCUAAAACUUUCAAAACUGGUUCUAGCUAAUUUGAUGACAUAGACACACAUUGCGCACACUUUUUUUUGUAGGUUUACAUCUCGCACUAUUUUAAAUUCAUUAUUUACAUUUUUGAAUUUCAAUAGCUCUUUGGUCAUGUGACUUACUGACUUCAAACAAGGUUCAGAAUGUACACUCAGUGGCCCUACGCAAUGCACACCCUUUAGUUUGUCCAUUUUAAACUCACACGUUUUUACAUGAAUUUUUCUAACUUUCAAAUGUCAAUAGCUCCUUGGUCAUGUGACCUACUGACUUCAAACAAGGUUCAGAAUUGUCCAUUUUAAUCUCACCAGAUUUUACAUUAAUUUGCCUGCUCUGCCCCCCUGAAGGACAGUGUCACUCACACACCUAUUCACUUGGGCCUUCUCCCUGGGGCCUUUCUGACCUCCAGGCAGGCCCCCAUUGACCUGGUGACCUCUGACUCCUGACCUCUAGGCCUACACUCCCUGCCCGCCUGCCUGCCCUGGGCCUGAGAGUGUAUAGCUUACUCCCUGGAACUACAGACCUCCAUACCUACUCUCCCUACCCGGUCAACACCCCCUCUUGGUCUUAGAGUAUAGCUUACUCCCUGGAAUUACUAAGACAUCUAUAGUCCCGCUGUCAGGAACCACGUGCACCUGGUAACCCGUAACAGGCUCUGUGCAUCUGGUAACCCGUAACAGGCUCUGUGUACCUGGUAACCCAUAACAGGCUCUGUGGUUCUGGUGACCUGCCCGCUUUUUUCUGCUCACAGACUAAGUCCCCACUCCAACCUCCAUGGCCUGAGUGCUGCCCCCAGCCCCUGAUUAACGUCCGGUGGUAUCAUCAGAGGCUUUUCUGUCUUACAAACUGGACAUCAGUUGCCGCUACAAACCUUCAGCUGACUUUGACUGUUGUUUUUACACCCAAUCGACAUCAAGUACCAGCGCAAUACUUAUAAGCUUGAGGACCAAAUACCCCUCGCUGUAUCUAGCGGCACCAUCAACCGGGUGUCAGAAGAAGCAACAGAAAAUAAUCCUCCCCUUUCAAUCAUUUGCUUUCCCAGUCAGCCCAGAACCAUAGGAACCACCUUUACCAGCGCUUCAUCGAUAUUCCUCACUUUGACAUGAGGGGGUCACAGUCACCCAACGGGUGAUUUGAGUGUUACUGUGACAGGUCGGAACGCUCCUUUGAAUUUGAAUUUCAAGUUGACAUUCAUUGAUCCAUGCCCAGUGGGAACCUAGGCUUCUUCCGUCAAUUUUAUGGAUCCGCAGCAAAUCGAUGAGUGUGGAUGGUACUACCCACAUCAGAUGUAGGCCCCCUCCCCAGACAAGCUGGAGAUACCUCUCCCCACUUCGUAGGGCAUGAGCCAGAUCCAUGCAAUGCCCUAUCACUGCGGGCCAAUGGGUUUAGUCUCCGCCUCAAGUGUAGUGAGCGUAGAGGAGACCUCCCCACCUACGGUGCUCGUUGGUGUGGGGGCGGCGAGCACCGUAGCUGGGGAGAUCCGCGAGAAGGGCCUGGCGCGCGUCCAGAGUUGCCGCCACCAACUUCCGGACCCAACUCCCCACCGGUCCGCCUUCAGCCCACCGACGGACACCACCCUGACGAACCCCCGUACACAGCCCCUUGCGAGACCACACACGAGAGACCACGAGAUGGGCCGCACAACGAACUUCCAAUGGUGUCGAGAGGAGGGCGACGGAGCGACUGCUCCCCUUGACGCAGCUUGAGCUAAGCCCCACUUCGCACCCCAGCCCGACCGACCCAGCCCUUAGAGCUCUCUUCUACCCCUAAGCCAUAAGACUACUGAACAUCUAAUCAAAUGACUACCCAGACCUUUCACUGUAAGGUCUACACCUGGUGUAUUUGGCGCAUGUGACAAAUGCAAUUUGAUUUGAUUUGAUUAAACUUGCCAGUCUAUGUCAUGGAAAGAGCAGGUGUACAUUAUAUUUUGUACACUCCGUGUCUAUGUUAACAUAUUUUCUGCUGUCUGCUCCCCAUAGGCAGGGUCUAUAAUAGACUCUCCCUGCUCAUGUACAGGUAAUAAAGUAGCUAAAUACAUGAAUGAAUAAAUAUAUACAGUUGUGUGAAAUGCAGUGGAUGAUUUUAAUGCAACAGUGAAGACUUCAAACGGGAGAACAACGAUUAAUUAUUUUAGUUAAUUCAGGCUGAUUCUCACAGAGCUGCUAGGGUGCACCUCAAUAGUCUACAGUAGCUUCAUGCUUUCUCUCCUCAUCACCUUUCCCAGCUUUGCUGUUGAACCCCUAACUUUAUUGGAUAACAUUUUAGUUUAAAUCUACUUGUAAAUAUGCAUUUAAAAAACAACAACCUAAAAUGACCUCUCAGCACCAAUCUUUUCUGUGCUUGCUUGCCAUUGGUGCCUGUCCCCUGUUGUGUAACAUACGUUUCUGGCUGUGAACAGUCUGAGUAUUUGGCACAUGCUGGUGGAAGGUGGAGA
ensembl:lncRNA